CCCACUGUGCCAAGCUGAGCUCAACGUGGGCAGCAAGAGCCCAGCCAACUAUAACACAUGCACCACCUGCAGGCUCCAGGUGUGCAACCUGUGUGGCUUCAACCCAACACCCCACCUGGUGGAGAAAACAGAGUGGCUCUGUCUGAACUGCCAAACCAAGCGGCUACUGGAGGGCAGCCUAGGAGAGCCGACCCCCCUGCCGCCGCCCACUUCACAGCAGCCCCCUGUAGGGGCCCCUCACCGUGCAUCUGGAACAUCCCCUCUGAAGCAGAAAGGGCCACAGGGGCUGGGCCAGCCAUCAGGCCCCCUGCCUGCCAAGGCCAGCCCUCUACCCACCAAGGCCAGCCCCCAGGCCAAGCCCCUCAGGGCUUCUGAACCCAGCAAGACCCCAAGCAGUGCCCAGGAAAAGAAGACCAGAGUUCCCACUAAAGCUGAGCCCAUGCCGAAGCCACCUCCAGAGACUACCCCAACCCCUGGGACUCCUAAAGUAAAGAGUGGGGUGAGGAGGGCUGAACCUGCCACCCCUGUCGUCAAGGCUGUUCCAGAAGCCCCCAAGGGUGGGGAGGCGGAGGUCAGUCCCAUUCACUUCCCAGAGACCCUAGCUUUCAGACAGGACAGUCUAUGGAAAGGCUUGCCUCCCUGGGUGGCUGAGGCUGUAGGCUCAGGACAGGUGCCUUGGGGCCACACAGGAGGGAGGGGACACAGUAGAAGGAAAGUCUAGAUGAGGUUCUGGCACGCUUGGAGACUGAGUUUUACACUGGUGCUGUGUCUGGCACCUUGUCAGAUGCUUUGCUGGGUUUUGAUACCCUUUGACCUAGUAAAGUUUCUCUUUGAAGACC
rnacentral:sRNA from 1 species